rnacentral:tRNA from 1 species
GCGGGUGUAGCUCAGUUGGUUAGAGCGCCGGCCUGUCACGCCGGAGGUCGCGGGUUCGAGCCCCGUCACUC